GAGUUUGAUUCAUGGCUCAGGAUGAACGCUAGCGGGAUGCCUAACACAUGCAAGCCGAGCGGGAUUUGUUGGUUAUCUUGCUAACUGACGAAUAAAUCGGCAUACGGGUGCUGAACAUGUGUGCAAUCUACCCUUAUCAAGGGGAUAGCCCAUAAAAAUCUGGAUUAAUACCCUAUAACAUAUGGGAUGGCAUCAUUUCAUAUUAAAAGCUACGGCGGAUAAGGAUGAUCACGCGCAAGAUUAGCUAGUUGGUAAGGUAACGGCUUACCAAGGCGACGAUCUUUAAGGGGCCUGAGAGGGUGAUCCCCCACACUGGGACUGAGACACGGCCCAAACUCCUACGGGAGGCAGCACUGAGGAAUAUUGGACAAUGGGUGGAAGCCUGAUCCAGCCAUCCCGCGUGCAGGACAACUGCCCUAUGGGUUGUAAACUGCUUUUAUAUAAGGAUAAACCUACUCUCGUGAGAGUAGCUGAAGGUACUAUAUGAAUAACCACCGGCUAACUCCAUGCCACCACCCGCGGUAAUACAGAGGGUGCAAGCGUUAUCCGGAUUUAUUGGGUUUAAAGGGUCCGUAGGUGGGCUGAUAAGUCAGCGGUGAAAUCCUGCAGCUUAACUGUAGAACUGCCGUUGAUACUGUUAGUCUUGAGUGUAUUUGAAGUGGCUGGAAUAAGUAGUGUAGCGGUGAAAUGCAUAGAUAUUACUUAGAACACCAAUUGCGAAGGCAGGUCACUAAGAUACAACUGACGCUGAGGGACGAAAGCGUGGGGAGCGAACAGGAUUAGAUACCCUGGUAGUCCACGCUGUAAACGAUGCUAACUCGUUUUUGGUUUUUAUGAAUCAGAGACUAAGCGAAAGUGAUAAGUUAGCCACGUGGGGAGUACGCUCGCAAGAGUGAAACUCAAAGGAAUUGACGGGGGCCCGCACAAGCGGUGGUUUAUGUGGUUUAAUUGGAUGAUACGCGAGGAACCUUACCAAGACUUAAAUGGGAAUUGACAGCGGUAGAAAUCCGGUUUUGUUCGGACAAUUUCCAAGGUGGCGCAUGGUUGUUGUCAGCUCGUGCCGUGAGGUGUUAGGUUAAGUCCUGCAACGAGCAGCAACCCCCGUCACUAGUCGCCAUCAUUCAGUGGGGGAUUGUAGUGGGACUCCGUGCUCAAGCAGUGAGGAAGGGGGGGAGGACGUCAAAUCAUCACCGCCCUUACUUCUUGGGCCACACACGUAAUCCAAUGGCCAGUACAGAGGGCAGGUAGUAUGUGAAUAGAUGGGAAUCUUGAAAGCUGGUCUCAGUUCGGAUUGGAGUCUGCAACUCGACUCUAUGAAGCUGGAAUCGCUAGUAAUCGCGCAUCAGCCAUGGCGCGGUGAAUACGUUCCCGGGCCUUGCACACACCGCCCGUC
rnacentral:rRNA from 1 species